GGUUCUAUGGUGUAGUAGUUAGCACUCUGGACUUUAAAUCCAGCGACCUAGGUUUGACAUCCGAAAGGACCU
rnacentral:tRNA from 1 species